rnacentral:rRNA from 1 species
CAGUCGCCACGGUAAUACAGAGGAUGUAAGCGUUAUCCAGAAUGAUUGGGUGUAAAGGGUGUGCAGACGGCUUAUUAAGUCACUUGUUAAAUUCUUCGGCCUAACUGAAGGUCUGCAAGUGAUACUGAUGAGCUAGAGGGUGGAAGAGAGAAGUGGAAUUCUCGGAGUAGCGGUAAAAUGCGUAGAUCUCGAGAGGAACACCAAUGGCGAAGGCAGCUUCUUGGUCCAUUCCUGACGUUCAUACACGAAAGCGUGGGGAGCAAACAGGAUUAGAUACCCCCGUAGUCCCUGUCUCUUAUAA